rnacentral:rRNA from 1 species
AUGCAUGUCUUAGUACAGGCCGUUUCACGGCGAGACCGCGAACGGCUCAUUAAAUCAGUUAUGAUUCAUUUGAUAAGUCCCCCAUUACUCGGAUAACCGUGGUAAUUCUAGAGCUAAUACGUGAAUGCAAAUACUCCAGCCGCCAGGUAGGAGUGCUUUUAUUAGAGUACAACCAAUCGGACCCCGGUCCGCAAGCAAAGUUGUGACGAUUCUGAAUAACUUUUUGCCGAGAGCACGGUCUCCGCACCGGCUCCAUGUCUUUCGAGUUUCUGCCUUAUCAUGCUGUGGAUUGUAGGCCACGAGCCUACACUGGCUGUUACGGGUAACGGAGAAUCAGGGUUCGAUUCCGGAGAGGGAGCCUGAGAAACGGCUACCACA